ensembl:lncRNA
CACGGUUGCAAGAGACUUUUUCCCGCAGGAGAUGCGCUGGCUGCGCAGAAAACAGCUGGAGCGGAGCAGUGGAGGAAUGUGCGGACUCCGGAACCGCCUCUGUGCAACGCGUUCUCUGAAGAUGAGUCCCUGGCAGGAACAAUGAAUGUACUGUCUGCUCCCCAACUGGAGAGACCAAGCCGCCUCAAGGACCACUGUGACUAUCUACUUGACUCUAUUGAUGCCCAGCUCAGCCAGCUACAGGUCGAGAGAUGGAAGUCAAAAAUCCUGGAUAAUAGCAAUGAUGAGGGAACUUCUCUUGGUGGGGCUGUUGGCGUUUCUUCUUCAGCAGGUUUGGGAAGACAUGCUGAGGACAGGGAUGACCGUGCCUCCUUGCAGUAUGACUGGUCCUCUUGGGAGGGAGAAAGUACUCGGUGGCUGCCGGACACAGGGGCCGACACAGGGGAACGUAGCCAAUCAGAGUCUGUCUGCACAGAAGACUUUGCGGCCAAGUUUAANGAAGGCCUCGUGGACCCGUUGAGCUCUGAGGAAGAAGGCAGCAUCAUCUACGGCAGCGUCGAGCCUCCAAAGGGUCAGGCCAAGAAUGACUCUGCGUUGCUUGGAACUGGCUCGGUGGGUUCAGUAGGCAAGGAAGCUCUAGCCCGGUUGCUGUUGGAGGANUCUAAGCAGAGACGUGACCCAGCUUUGUCUCACAGGUCAAGAGAGUCUCCGUCCCUCGGUAUCCAGCACCGAAUGAGGAAUCCCGAGUCUUUAAGAGACAAUGUUUUGGGACAGCUUAACCAGAGGUGCAGCAUCUGGUCCAGCCCCACAGAUGCCCCAAGAGAAAGGUUUCUUCAGCACGGCUCCCUGAAUUUUGGGGAGACACCUGUGGGUUUGGAAAUGGGUAGCUCCCGGACAAAUCUCUUCCUGGAGCCUCAGCAGGGAAGAAACUGUCUGGAGGACUCCUCUGAAAUGACCCAGGGUCCUCGUAAAAACUGCAGCAAGCCACUGCUCCUUCAAGACUUGGGGCCUUCAAAGCCAUUCCCUGAUGCUGACGAUGUCUCCACCAGCACGGGGGCCACCAGUGGUGAAACCUGGCCCAAGACACUGGGACCCAGGCAUCCUAAGGAUGGUUCAUGUCUUUGCUCCCUCGGGACAUCCCAGAAAAGCUGUUUGGGGCCCUCUGAUACAGAGAGAAGGGAUAAGUUGAUCACAUGUGGGCGCUUUUAUCCUCUGGUCACCAGGGGCACUGGCCAAAUGGAAGCACCGUCUCACUCAGAGCUUGGAAGGAACAUUGAUUCACUUGGCACCCCCAGGGAUGCCCCUGCCGCCAUGAUCCCCAAGAAGGUCCACUUGCCACCACAAAGGGACGCUGUGAGCAGUGAAGAGGAGGAGGAGGAAGAGGGGGCAGCAUUUGCUGAGCAGGGCUUCACCAGUGACUGCACCCAGAGAACCAGCGAUCUCAAGCAACUGACUGCAAGCAGGACAGCAUAUCCCAGCUGGAAAGGAACUGAACUGGAGAAUUACAAAAGUCAGGAGGACUUGGAACUGGAAGAGGAAAAGUUGCUGCAGAAGAAGGCCCUAAUCCAUGAAGAAGAGCUGUCCCUGCAGCGCAUGCUACGACAGAAAGAGUUUGUGGCUCUGGAACUGCAGACCUUCCAGGAGGCCCUGGAGAAGAGCCAGAAUGAAGCAAGGAGGCUACAGCUGCACGUGGAAGAGAGCCAGAGAAAAGUGGAUGAGGCCAGGGUGAACCAGGCGCUGCUGGAAUUCAAGCGAGAAGCCUCUCUUAGGGAGCUGCUGGAGCUGGAGAAGGACCUGAAUUUGCGGAGAAGACAGUGUGGUCAAUAUGUCGCCUCCCAGGCAGAGGUUUCUCAGCUGGUGAAAGAACGGGAGCAGCUGAGGAACCAAGUGCGACANCUUGAGGACACCCUAUCUUCCCUGCAGCACCAGACGAGGGCCUCUGAAAUGGACGCAGUCCCUCAGAAGGAGACAAUUGGUGUUGGGACUGAGGACUGGCAGGAGGUUGUCCAAAGCGCCCAGAAGCUGGACAAGCGGAUCCAAGGCUUGGAGCUGAGAAUCUCAACCCUCCAGAUGGUUCUNUCACAGAAGAAUGCGGAGGUGUCAAGACUUCAUGAGUCCAUCUCUGCCUUGGAGGCUGAAAAAGCAUCCUGGAAGUCCAUGGUGGAGAACCUGAGAAAGGAUCAUGAAGACCAGCUGGAGAAACUACGGGAUGAGGCCUUACAGGAGAAGAUUCAGACCUUGAUGCUUGAGGAGCAGAAGAAAUGGGAAGCUGAUGCCAGAGAUGCUCUCCAGAUGCAGCGGGAAGUCUUGGAGGAGCAAAAGCGGAUGGAUCUCCAGAAAGCCCUGGAGAAAGAACGGAAGGUCAGCCUUGAGUUGCUGGCUGAAAACGCCAACCUCUGCAAGAGGAUCCAGGAGCUGGAGANCAAGGCCGAGUCGUUUCAGGGUGAGAAGGUGGCAGCUAUGGAAGAACUCUGGGUUCAGCUGGAGAAAGAAAAGGCUGAAGCCCUGAGGAAGUUGCAGGAUGAACUGGAGAAGGAAUCUCAGCAGAACAUUGACUGGGCACAACAGUCCCUGGCCAAGGAGGUCAUCAUGGCUUGCCAGCAACUCCAGGACCUCCUGCCCAAGAAGGCUGGCGUGCCCACCCNUGUCUGGCUGCACAGGAACCCGGAAAUCCCAUCCACCGCUCAUGUGCUCCAAGCCUUGCAAAACGUGAGCAAGGAAAUUCGGUGCUACCUCCAGGCGUUAAAGCAGGAGACAGAACAGCAGAGGCAGAACGUCCUUCAGCUCCAGAAGGAAAAGGAGAGAGAACUGAUGGAGCAGCAAGAAGAGCUUCGCUUGGAGAACCAGGUGGCUCUUGAGGCUCUGAAGGAGCAUCUUGUACAGGAGCACAUGAAGGAUAUUGUCAACCUGCAGCGCACCUGGGUGAAAGAAACCAAAGUCUUGCACCCACGCCUUCAGGACCAGGGUGCUGCGUUGCAGCCGUUGCAAAGAAGCNUCCCCCGCCGGAGAGAAAAGGCAGCCUGCCAGCCGGCUGAAGAAUUUAAGGAGGAUUUGAAUGUGGAACUGGAGAAGUGCUUGUCCAGAAACAAACCUAUGGACAUCCCCAUGAACUUCAACAUCCCAGAAGCAGAAAUCAGACGGUUCUCCACGGGCCGGAGUGAAUAUCUCCUACCUUGCUCUACCCACUCUUCACCGAAUGCCACCAGUUUCUCCAGCCCCUCAAAGCUGCUGUCCAGCCUACAGAACCGAAUCCGAGCGGUGCGGACGGAGAAUGCCAAGUUCUGCAGGACCAACCUAGAUAGUGGCAUCACCCCACGAGAGGAUUUGGCCGACAGGUGCACAAGUAAAAGGUACUUGAGUUCAGAGCUCUCCUCGUCUCAGCCCACAGGGGAAGCAGCUGGGUGUAGAACUGCCAGGAAGGAGAAGCCACAGUGAGNAAGAAGGAGAACCUUCACCCAGGAAUGGUGCUAUGAGCAGGCUACAAUCCCAGGGAAAGGAUUACCGCACCUUGAAGAACACAGAUUUCGGUCACCUUGUUUUGUCCAUGUUUUUCCUCAGCACCUACGCGGAGAGUACGGCAUGGAUCCUAAAUGCCUUUUUCAGCUCGGUGCUCUUAACAGACCUUGAAACUUCUGGGCUGAGGUUCUCGUUGCUUCACUGUUUGUCUUUUUAAGCAACUAAAUGGUGUGGAAGCUCUUCAGCUUCCACACCUACCAAGGCCACUGUCAGUAUCACCCGUUAAGCCUCACAGCUCUGCAAAUGACCCACUCCUGGUUGACUGCAUGGGCCCCUCUAUGCAGUUUUCUUGGCAGAGAUAUAGAAGUGGUUUGCCAUUACCUAUUUCCAGGGAGAGACUAGUCCAGCAUUCUGUUUCACACGGUGGCCCAUCAAUUGCUUCUGGGCAUCUCAAGCAGAAUAAAAAGGCAAACCCUUCACCUGCA